AUCGAGCUAGUGUAAUGGUAGCACAGGAGUCUCCAAAACUUCUAGUCUGGGUUCAAAUCCUAGGUUCGGUG
rnacentral:tRNA from 1 species